rnacentral:rRNA from 1 species
GACGAACGCUGGCGGCGUGCUUUAUACAUGCAAGUCGAACGAUGAAGUUCCUUCGGGAAUGGAUUAGUGGCGAACGGGUGAGGAACACGUGAGAAACCUGCCUUUCAUUCUGGGAUAACACCGGGAAACCGGUGCUAAUACCGGAUACUCCAUCUUGGCGGCAUCGCCGAGCUGGGAAAAAAUUUUGAUGAAAGAUGGUCUCGCGGCCUAUCAGCUAGUUGGUGAGGUAAAGGCUCACCAAGGCGACGACGGGUAGCCGGCCUGAGAGGGCGACCGGCCACACUGGGACUGAGACACGGCCCAGACUCCUACGGGAGGCAGCAGUAGGGAAUAUUGGGCAAUGGGCGAAAGCCUGACCCAGCGACGCCGCGUGAGGGAUGAAGGUCUUCGGAUUGUAAACCUCUUUCAGUAGGGAAGAAGCGAAAGUGACGGUACCUAAAGAAGAAGCACCGGCUAACUAUGUGCCAGCAGCCGCGGUAAUACAUAGGGUGCAAGCGUUGUCCGGAAUUAUUGGGCGUAAAGAGCUCGUAGGUCGUUUGUCGCGUCGAUUGUGAAAAUCUGAGGCUCAACCUCAGACCUGCAGUCGAUACGGGCAAACUAGAGUGUGGUAGGGGAGACUGGAAUUCCUGGUGUAGCGGUGGAAUGCGCAGAUAUCAGGAGGAACACCAAUGGCGAAGGCAGGUCUCUGGGCCAUAACUGACACUGAGGAGCGAAAGUGCGGGGAGCGAACAGGAUUAGAUACCCUGGUAGUCCGCACCGUAAACGGUGGGCACUAGUUGUGGGAACCUUCCACGGUCUCCGCGACGCAGCAAACGCAUUAAGUGCCCCGCCUGGGGAGUACGAUCGCAAGAUUAAAACUCAAAGGAAUUGACGGGGCCCCGCACAAGCAGCGGAGCAUGCGGCUUAAUUCGACGCAACGCGAAGAACCUUACCAAGGCUUGACAUAUAGUGAAAAGUGGCAGAGAUGUCA